rnacentral:piRNA from 1 species
UCACGUCCGAAAUUCUAACAUUGCCCA